rnacentral:rRNA from 1 species
GACGAACGCUGGCGGCGUGCCUAACACAUGCAAGUCGAACGGAGAUUUUACGGAAUGCGACUUCGGUCAAAUGAAGUUUAAUCUUAGUGGCGGACGGGUGAGUAACGCGUGAGGAACCUGCCCUUAAGAGGGGGACAACAGUUGGAAACGACUGCUAAUACCGCAUAAUAUAUCUGAAUGGCAUCAUUUAGAUAUCAAAGGAGCAAUCCGCUUAAGGAUGGCCUCGCGUCUGAUUAGAUAGUUGGUGAGGUAACGGCUCACCAAGUCGACGUUCAGUGGCCGGACUGAGAGGUUGAACGGCCACAUUGGGACUGAGACACGGCCCAGACUCCUACGGGAGGCAGCAGUGGGGGAUAUUGCACAAUGGGGGAAACCCUGAUGCAGCAACGCCGCGUGAGGGAAGAAGGUUUUCGGAUUGUAAACCUCUGUGGACAGGGACGAUAAUGACGGUACCUGUCUAGAAAGCCACGGCUAACUACGUGCCAGCCGCCGCGGUAACAC